rnacentral:rRNA from 1 species
UACGGAGGGUGCAAGCGUUAUCCGGAAUUAUUGGGCGUAAAGCGUCCGCAGGCGGUUUUUCAAGUGUGAUAUUAAAGCCGGCAGCUCAACUGUCGUUUGGUGUCGCAAACUGUUAAACUAGAGGCUUAGAGAGGUGCGUGGAAUUCUGCAUGUAGGGGUAAAAUCCGUAGAUAUGCAGAGGAACACCAAAAGCGAAAGCAGCGCACUGGAUAAGUUCUGACGCUCAUGGACGAAAGCGUGGGGAGCAAACAGGAUUAGAUACCCUGGUAGUCCACGCCGUAAACGAUGGAUACUCGGUGUUAGGUUAUUCAAUCGACCUAGUGCCUAAGCUAACGCGUUAAGUAUCCCGCCUGAGGAGUACGAUCGCAAGAUUAAAACUCAAAGGAAUAGACGGGGACCCACACAAGCGGUGGAGCAUCUUGUUUAAUUCGAUAAUAAGCGGGAAACCUUACCUAGGCUUGACAUCCCGGAGAAUUUUCUAGAGAUAGAAAAGUGCCUUUUGGAACUCCGGUGACAGGUGCUGCAUGGUUGUCGUCAGCUCGUGCCUUGAGGUGUUCGGUUAAGUCCGUAAACGAGCGCAACCCUAGUCGUAUGUUGUAUUUCUCAUACGAGACUGCCGGUUACAAAUCGGAGGAAGGUUAGGAUGAUGUCAAAUCAGCAUGGCCCUUAUGCCUAGGGCUACAAAGGUGCUACAAUGGUAGAUACAACGGGCAACCAAGUGGUAACACGGAGCCAAUCCCUUAAAGUCUAUCUUAGUUCGGAUCGAGGUCUGCAACUCGACCUCGUGAAGUUGGAAUCGCUAGUAACCGCAUAUCAGCUAUGGUGCGGUGAAUAUGUUCCUGGGUCU